CCCAACGCUUAGAAGGUGUCACGGGCGAAGCGCACCCAUUCCACGUGAGCGCCUCCCGCUUCAGUCAACCGAGGAGACAACCACAGCUCUGCGUCACUCGCAGUACAUACCGACGCACGUCCACAGUGCAGCCUAAAGAAUGGCACCGAAGCACGCACAAAAUCAGCGGAAGAAUGGCAAGAAGAGGAAGCUGCAGCGGGUGCGCGUCACUAACAAGGCGCUCGAGUCGCGGCAGUUCUCCACUGUUCGCCUCCCACGCACAAGCGAGGUGCCGGCGCAGAAGGCGGAUGUGCACUCCAUGUACCAGGAGCUGGCGUGUGGGUCUAGUGGUGGCACCGCCGCCGCAUCGAGCAAGUCGGCCAGCGCUGCCUCUGCCGCCGCCUCGCCACCUUCUUCCUCCGGCUUCGACCCUAUCGCGAAUGAUGCGAUGUUCACGAUUGUGACCAAGUCCAAGUACUGGCCACCGCCCUCGCUGGAGGAGCUGCACGCCAAGACCGGCCACGACCACGGCGAUGGCUUUGACUCGUACGAUAGACGCGAGGACGACAAGAAAGCGCGAAAAGAGCGGGUGAAAGUGGUGAAGGGAGAAGUCAAUCACCCGCGUGGCAAGCCACGGCAGAACACCGUAAUCCAGCUCUCCGACAGCAGCAGCAGCGAUGGCGAUGAUGGCGAGCACGGCGGCUGCGACACUGAGUAGGCGAAUGCAGACUCGGGCUGAAGGCGCAGUAAGGAGAGAUAAGUGGUGCAGGCAGGAGAAGAGAGCGGCCGCAUGCCGAGGCGCAUACUGACGAGGAGCGCCGACGGUGGCCGUUUGAGGCAGCACGGGGGCGAUGCACGCUCAGGCACCCUUGCGGCAUAGGAGUGUGGAGGAGGGGGUGAUGAUGGAAGUGGGGAAAGGGCGCAUACGCAUCCGCGGAGGAGUCUGGCGACGGUGGCGGCGCUAUGGACUCCCCUGUAUCCUGUCUCUUUCUCGUCUCUGGUGGGCCGCUUUCCUUUGGUCCCUUUCUCUCGCCGCGUCGCGGGGUGCGACUGCAUGGGCUUGCGUGUGUGUGGGCGCAAGAGGCAUGCUCCCUCCUCUCCACCACACCACUUCCUUUACAUUUUUGUCUCGGCUGUGCUCUCGCGUCUGUCUCUAGGCAACGGCAGAGCCGAGGCGACGCCAGCGAUGGUGUCCUGUGGCCUUCUGUGGGCGUGCGCGCCGGUGUGUUGAGCACUGUGCCCAUUUUUCUAUAAUGGACUACGAUGAAGAUAACUCAUGGCUCUCUCUCGCCACCCUCCAGCCAGUGCGACGACAUGAUCCCAAGGAAAUCGACAGAACAACGGCAAUAAGCAACCCAACCCCAACAUUGGGGCAGAAUUGCCGUGACGGUAGCUUAGCAGCAGCCGCAGCUGAAGCAUGAGCGGAGCGAGGUGAGUAUGUGUGUGCGCGCGCGAGGAAACACCUACACGGGGAGCAUUUCGUUUUCUGUAUCUCCCUGCUCAAGCGAGCAGCUUGCUGGCGCCGCUCACGCGAGAGAGCGGGAGCGU
rnacentral:misc_RNA from 1 species